UACGGGGGGGGCAAGCGUUGUUCGGAAUUACUGGGCGUAAAGGGCGCGUAGGCGGCCUGUUAAGUCGGACGUGAAAUCCCUCGGCUCAACCGGGGAACUGCGUCCGAUACUGGCGGGCUUGAAUUCGGGAGAGGGAUGUGGAAUUCCAGGUGUAGCGGUGAAAUGCGUAGAUAUCUGGAGGAACACCGGUGGCGAAGGCGGCAUCCUGGACCGGCAUUGACGCUGAGGCGCGAAAGCCAGGGGAGCAAACGGG
rnacentral:rRNA from 1 species